AGAGUUUGAUCCUGGGCUCAGGGAUGAACGCUAGCGGCAGGCUUAACACAUGCAAGUCGAGGGGCAGCGCGGAUAGCAAUAUCUGGUCGGCGACCGGCGAAAGGGUGAGUAACGCGUGAGCAACGUGCCCGGGAGCGGGGGAUAGUCGAUGGAAAACGUCGCGUAAUACCCCGUAACAACAGAGAUCGCAUGGUUUCUGUUUGAAAGAUUUAUCGCUUCCGGAUCGGCUCGCGUUCCAUUAGCUAGUUGGCGGGGUAACGGCCACCAAGGCGACGAUGGCUAGGGUUCUGAGAGGAAGGUCCCCCACAUUGGAACUGAGACACGGUCCAGACUCCUACGGGAGGCAGCAGUGAGGAAUAUUGGACAAUGGCCGGAAGGCUGAUCCAGCCAUGCCGCGUGGCGGGAAGACGGCCCUAGUGGGUUAGUAAACCGUCUUUUGCCGGGGGCAAUAAGGUGUACGUGUACACCGAUGAGAGUACCCGGCGAAUAAGCAUCGGCUAACUCCGUGCC
rnacentral:rRNA from 1 species